rnacentral:rRNA from 1 species
AUUGAACGCUGGCGGCAGGCCUAACACAUGCAAGUCGAGCGAGCGGCGGACGGGUGAGUAAUGUCUGGGAAACUGCCUGAUGGAGGGGGAUAACUACUGGAAACGGUAUCUCAUACCGCAUACCCUCAGAUGUGCCCAGAUGGGAUGAGCUAGUUGGUGGGGUAACGGCUCACCUAGGCGACGAUCCCUAGCUGGUCUGAGAGGAUGACCAGCAACACUGGAAAUGAGACACGGACCAGACUCCUACGGGAGGCAGCAGUGGGGAAUAUUGCACAAUGGGCGCAAGCCUGAUGCAGCCAUGCCGCGUGUGUGAAGAAGGCCUUCGGGGUGUAAAGGACUUUCAGCGGGGAGGCGUUACCCGCAGAAGAAGCACCGGCUAACUCCGUGCCAGCAGCCGCGGUAAUUC